CACACACACACACACACACACACACAGAGAGAGAACCUGGAAACAUAAAGCAGAAUAUUACAUAAAAAGAAUGGGCAGGAAACCAAGAGCCGCACACCUACGUUUUGGACUUUCCUCCCAUUGGCUAUAGCAUUUUGAAAAGAGUGAGUGUGUGGGGAGAGUGAGUUAUAUUAUGAAGACCGAAUGCAUGAAAAGAGCUCCUAACUGUAUCAAAAAUAUAUGGUAUGCUGUACAGACUUUAGGCUAAAGAUUGAAAGGGAACAUUUCAAAUCGUAAACAGACCGUGGCGACAGAACUGGAAACAUGUUCGUCUGACUGGAUCGUAUAUGUAAAGGGUACUGCUUUUAUAACUACCUCCUCUGGUUUCUAAGAAAUUGUAUUUACAAAGACGAGACAAAAAAAAACCAUAAAUCGCCAUGAAGGCUAAUAUGAUGUUUUAAAAGAAGACGUUUCCGGGUUUUAUUGACGCUGUAAAAGAAAGGACAACAAACAAUAAAACAAUUCACUAAGUUAGCCGACGCGACCCCAGCUCUGUCUCAGAAUAAGGGCUGCAUAGACAGACAGAGGACUUGCAAGCGAACGGACACUAAAUGCUGAAUUCGGAAAUGAAGACCAGGGACGCUGCUUGCUUUCACUCCUCUUCCCCCUCCUCCUCCUCCUCCUCCUCCUCUACCCCAGGCUUGUCUUCGGUUGACGGGCUCUGUCCCGUGGCCUUGUUCUCCUUCUUCC